UCUUACAUAGGCUGGUUACGGCGGACUCACCAGAAGGUGGCAUUCAAGCUACUCACGCAUGUGAGGCAGGACGAGCAGCCAGUGGGAAGGGCCACUAUGACCACCACACGAUUUCCCUCUCUUCCCACUCAAGCAUCUGUGUCCACGCCUGAGAAGGGACAGAGCCUCUCCCAGCACCCAGCACCCAUGAGCUAAGGAACCCAAGGCUCAGCAUUUCCUCCAAGUCUAAACAUUUCAUCUUAAAGAUGAGCACAACUUUCUUUUGCAAAA